UUAGAGCGCAUCCCGAAAAGUGUGAAACGGUUUCGGAAAAAAUGCGCGUCAAAA
rnacentral:misc_RNA from 1 species